rnacentral:rRNA from 1 species
UACGGAGGGUGCAAGCGUUAAUCGGAAUUACUGGGCGUAAAGCGCACGCAGGCGGUCUGUCAAGUCGGAUGUGAAAUCCCCGGGCUCAACCUGGGAACUGCAUUCGAAACUGGCGGCUAGAGUCUUGUAGAGGGGGGUAGAAUUCCAAGUGUAGCGGUGAAAUGCGUAGAGAUCUGGAGGAAUACCGGUGGCGAAGGCGGCCCCCUGGGCAAAGACUGACGCUCAGGUGCGAAAGCGUGGGGAGCAAACAGG